rnacentral:rRNA from 1 species
UGUAAGUGAAAAAAUGAGGAGUCCGGCCUGCCCGGUGAGUACUUUAACGGCCGCAACGAGAGUUGUGUUAAUGUAGCGCGGUAAGUUGUCUCUUAAUUGGAGAAUGGUAUGAAUGGUUAGACGUGGAAAAACUGUCUUUGGAGAAUAGAACGAAGUUUCCUUUUAAGUGAAAAGGCUUAUAUUUUUGUAAAAGACGAGAAGACCCUAUCGAGCUUAAUUAAGAUUUCUUUGUUUAAAAGAGGUUAGAAUUUUUGUUGGGGCAACAUAAAUCAAAAUAACGGUUUAAUGUUAAAUAAAGAUCCUUUGUUGAGAGAAAAUAGCAAAAGCUACCGUAGGGAUAACAGCGUUAUCCUUCUUAAGAGAUCGCAUUGAGAGAAGGGUUUGCGACCUCGAUGUUGGAUUAUGGAAACUCUUUGGUGUAACAGCUAUAGUGGUAAGACUGUUCGUCUUUUAAA